UCCCACAUGUUUCCACAAAGGGCCAGGACUUGGUUUGGCUUAAGUCAUGUGGCUAUUCCUGACGUCAGUCACUGUGGCCAGGUGGUAAGGGACUCGGGGUGGAAAAGUGGUGGCUUGCUGAGGGGAAGAUUCCAGAUGAACCGAAUGCUGGGCUGGGACUAGGGCAGCAACAUCGUGGGGACUCCCCAGGGCGGAGGGAAGAGAGGACUUUCACUUCAGCAGGGCACCCUGUGAACACCCAUCCCAGCUGCCAUCUGCAAAUAGCCGGGCUUCCCAGGAACUGGAUGACUUCACCAGGGCUCAGUGACCCCGUCACUGCUCAGUGGUUAGUGGAAGCUGGGGCAGGUGCCCAGCCCUCAUCCUGCCAGGCCCCCUGCUGCCCCCAAGCUUUGUGCUUCUGAUUCUCUGUUCCUUGAACAUACACAUCUUUCCAGCAAGCGGACUCAAACUUUGGGAGUGGGCAGGGAGUAUAAAUAAUCAACAAGUGAGUACUGGGGUCAGCAAACCUUCCCAGGGCUUUGCAGGAUGUGACCCGGGGGACAGCAGCUCCUGGAUUUUUCAGGUGGCCCAAGUCCCACACAGGCUAUGGUUCAAAUGCCUGCUCUGUCACUUCCAGCUGUGUGACCUUAAACAUGGCCUGUGGUUUCUCUGGGCCUCAGUUUCCUUGUCUGUAAAAUGGGGAUAAUACCCUGGCCAGAGCUGUCAUGAUGAUGUCAACCAUGGAUGGAAAGCAGUCACCAGGGGUGCCUGGGUGGCUCUGUGGGUUAAGUGUCCGACACUUGAUUUUGGCUCAGGUCAUGAUCUUAGGGCCAUGGGAUCAAGCCCCACGUCCGGCUCUGCGCUCCGGUUGUAAAGUCUGCUUGAGAUUCUCUGUCUCCCUCUCUUCCUCUCUGCCCCUCCCCCUGCCCACACUCUCUCUCUCAAAAUAGAUGAAAAUAAAAUCAGGAAGGAAAGAAGGAAGGAAGUCACCAGCAAAUUCCUUCUUUCCCUCUUUUCCCAGAGUCCCUGGCCAGCUCUCCCUUGUCCCAUCUCCAGGGUCUGCUGCAGACGGCAGAGAAGCCCAGGCUGGGAACCCUGCUUAGAUCCUAGACACCGAGAGGAGGGACUGUCACCUUGGCCUUUGAGGGAGCCUCUCCACUCCCCAAAUGGCAUUCCCUCAUGUUGUCUUUGGUGUUGGUUCCCAUAAGAGCUCUGGGCCUUGUUUGGAGGCUAAUGGUGGGGGGUGGGGGAGGGCGGCCAGGCAGGGUCACAAGCCAGAGUCUGGAGAGGCUUAGUGCGGUGGGAUAUAUGAGCCCAGCUCAGCGUGGCCAGUGUCCCCCAAGCAAGAGACAAGAGAGCAUGUGUAUUGGCUGACCCAUCCCAAGUACUGUACCAAGGGGGUCAAGAACUUUGGCAAGGCAGCUUGGCCGUAAGUCAAGGUCAGAAGACUCGAGACUGCCCACCUGGUCUUCCUGGGAUGGCGCCCCGAGUCGGGCUUUCUGCUUGGCGAGGAGUCUGCGUGGUCUUCCCCUCUGUCUUCCACAUCCCCACCCUCUGGCUCAUGCUCUGUCUCUCUCUCAAAUAAAUAAAAUCUUUUUUUAAAAGUAUUAAAAAGAUCCAUAUCCAACACCAGAGAUGGAUAAUCCAGGAGGGGCAGAUGGAGCAAGGUGGUCCGAACACACCAGCUUCUAGUUGCAAGAUAACGAAGUACUGAGGACGACGACGUAAGGGGAGACCCUCCAGGCCCAGAGCCAACAGUGCCUCGAGAGGUAUAGGGAAGUUACGAGAAUAAAUCCUAAGAGUUAUCAUCGUAAGGAGAAUUUCUUCUCCUUUUUCUUUUUCUUUCUUUAUUGUAUUUACAUGAGAAGCUAAACCUAUCACAGCAACCAUUUCACCAGGUCAAACCAUCAUGCUGUAGACCUUAGGCGGUGACCGAGGUCAAUCAUUUUGCCUCUCAGGUUGCCGAGGGAAGGCAUAGCUACCACGCACCCCACCAGUCCGUUCACCCCGCCAGGCGCCGUGGCCACGAGAAGCCUGGGCACAGUAUAGCUCUCGAGGACCCCACAGGCACACGUGGUCGUGUUUGUUGGAAGAGCUCAGGCUCUCAAGACCUUCCCCCAUUCUAAAGGUUCUGGAAAAGCCUAAGGAUGUCAUGUGCCCUUGGACGGAGGUGUGCGUGAAGACUUUGUUUUGUCAUCUGUAAGUUGGAGUGAGGCAGCCGGGCUGAGGCCAGGAGUGAGGAGGCCUGGACACUCCUGCUUGCCCUGUGAGGAUUUAUUCGGCCAGGGCCGGCACGUCGUACACAUCUACUGGGGACAGCGCCUUUCCUGGGUGCUUGCGGUUUACAGAAAGAUCAGGGGUGAGAGUCCUAGAACGGGCCAGAGCAGAACUGUGGUCUGAAGGCCACGGCCAUUCCAGUGCACGCACUCCGCCUUCCAGCUCUCCGUUUACUGAUUAGUAGGACAAGACCUACACUUGGGUAUGCUGCCACCAAGUGAUAGUUGAUGCUUCUGUCAUUCGCCUGGGCUCAAAGAUGACUCUCACCAGGGGAAAAAAAAAUAGGCUUUCUCUUAUCAAAACUAUAGCUUUAAACAACGUCCAUGAACGUUAUACUUCAUUAUAGAAAAUUCAUCGAGGGCAAGCUUAAAAAUAAAUACUUAUAUACACAAAUAAAUAAAUAAAAUACUUAGGUACAGCUCUGGCCAGUGCUUCAUGACUAGCAAUUUAAGUAAGGCAGGAUCUUUUCCCCCGGCUUGCUGUUGUUCCAGGAUAAAAAGAGUUCUGUUACUUUUCUUUUAUGAUUCUAAAGGUGAUACACGAAAUGUAUUGCCGACUCAGAAAGGGUGCACCUCUUACAAUUAAAAUAAUACCAAAAAUUUCCUCCCCAGACAUUGGGUAAACACGUGUGCCUUUUUAAAAGGCAUCUAGAGCUCCAUCCUCAAGUUCUAAUCCAUUUACUGGGCCUCAAGAAACUCUCCCUCCAACAGCAGGUUUCACAGUUGUUAAGAUUUGGUAUUUCAGUUUCCCGAUUCUCUCUUGUGAAUAUAUAUAUAUUCACAGUUUUAUAUAUAGCGACAGCUAUAUAGAUCUUUCCAGUUUUCUUCCAAAGGUAUUCCCUAAAGAUUUGACUUUCUUAAGAACACCCUUUCUUCCUUUCGAUCAGGCAAAUAAAAAUACCGCCUGUCACUCUCGAGGCUCCUGACCUUGUCUUUAAAACCCGCUCUGCCCCUCCUCUCUACCCUCCCGUCUAGAUCUCUAGCUACAGGUGAUUGUUAUUUUUCUAAGAUUUAUUAUUUAUUCCAGAGAGAGAGCGCGAGUGAGUGUGCAUGUGCAGAAUCUCAAGCAGACUCCAUGCUGAGAUCGGGACAGGAACCCAAACCAAGAAUGCAAUGCUUAACCCACUGAGCCCCCCAGGUGCCUCCCUAGGCAAUUAUUAUUCAAAAGUUAAAUAUAGGACUGCCUGGGUGGCUCAGUGGGUUAAGCAUCUGCCUUUGGCUCAGGUCAUGAUCCCGGGGUCUGGGGAUGGAGUCCUGCAUCGGGCUCUCUGCUCAGCGGGGAAUCUGUUUCUUCCUCUGACCUCUCCCCUCUCCUGCUCGCUCUCUCUCUCUCUCUCAAAAAAAUAAAUCAAAGUAAAAUCUUUCUUUUUUUUAAGAAAAAUCUUAAAAAAAAAGUUAAAUUCAGUUACAUCCUGGACCACUAUUUCACAGAGCCUUCAGGUUUUUGUUUUUAAAGAUUUAUUUAUUUGACAGAAAGAGAGAUCACAAGUAGGCAGAGCAACAGGCAGGCUGGGGGGUGGGGUGGGGUGGGUGGAGCAGGCUCCCUGCUGAGCAGAGCGCCUGAUGGGCUUGAUCCCAGAACCCUGGGAUCAUGACCUGAGUCAAAGGCAGAGGUUUAACCCACUGAGCCAUCUAGGUGCCUGUUUUUUUUUGUUUUUUUUGUUUUGUUUUUUUUUGCUUUUUUAAUUGCUAUCCAUUAUAAUCCUACCCUGUGGCCUGUGAGAGGCUACAACAGCUUGCACAGAGCAGGGCUUUGAUCCUGACAUUUAAACAAGGGUUUGGAUACUAGAGGUGGUCAUAAAGUAAAUCAAUCCAGGUGUGCUUAAGGUAAUUUUUUUUUAAGAUUUAUUUAUUUAUUUGACAGACAGACAGAGGCUUUAAUCCACUGAGCCACCCAGGCGCCCCUUAAGGUAAUUUUUAAGUUUCCCUCAAACCCACUCGAGAGUUAACAGUUGAAUGGCAGUGAUUUUCAAACUUCCAUGACUAGGACUCUCACUCAAAGAGAUGUACGUACUCUCACGUACAUAUAAAUAUCCGGAUUUUUCAACAAAUGUGACUUACCUUUACUCCAUGGGCAAAGGCAGCGAUAUGGUCUAGUCGGUUCAUUCCACGUAAUUUUUUUUAAAGAUUUUAUUUAUUUAUUUGACAGACACAGAUCACAAGUAGGCAGAGAGGCAGGCAGAGAGAGAGAGAGCAGGAAGCAGGCUCCCAGCUGAGCAGAGAGCCUGACACUGGGGCUCAAUCCCAGAAUCCCGAGACCAUGACCCGAGCCAAAGGCAGAGGCUUUAACCCACUGAGCCACCCAGGUGCCCCCCCCACAUAAUUUUUUUGCUAAUGCUGCUGAGUUGAACCAUACAAAACUGACAUCUUUGUAGUCAAAACAGUCAGAUCUGAGUGAUUUCCUAUGGUUCAACGAAUUUGUGAUCCUAAAGUAGUUUCUCAUUCUGCUUAAUGGGCUGCACCCCAUAAGAAAACACUGUUUUGUGAGUCAUUGUUAUUACUGUUAUUUUUUAAAUUAAAAUAGGAUUGAAAAUGGA